GUGAGUAACGCGUGAGAACCUGCCUCAAAGAGGGGGACAACAGUUGGAAACGACUGCUAAUACCGCAUAAGCCCACAGCUCGGCAUCGAGCAGAGGGAAAAGGAGCAAUCCGCUUUGAGAUGGCCUCGCGUCCGAUUAGCUAGUUGGUGAGGUAACGGCCCACCAAGGCGACGAUCGGUAGCCGGACUGAGAGGUUGAACGGCCACAUUGGGACUGAGACACGGCCCAGACUCCUACGGGAGGCAGCAGUGGGGAAUAUUGCACAAUGGGGGAAACCCUGAUGCAGCGACGCCGCGUGGAGGAAGAAGGUCUUCGGAUUGUAAACUCCUGUUGUUGGGGAAGAUAAUGACGGUACCCAACAAGGAAGUGACGGCUAACUACGUGCCAGCAGCCGCGGUAAAACGUAGGUCACAAGCGUUGUCCGGAAUUACUGGGUGUAAAGGGAGCGCAGGCGGGAAGACAAGUUGGAAGUGAAAUCUAUGGGCUCAACCCAUAAACUGCUUUCAAAACUGUUUUUCUUGAGUAGUGCAGAGGUAGGCGGAAUUCCCGGUGUAGCGGUGGAAUGCGUAGAUAUCGGGAGGAACACCAGUGGCGAAGGC
rnacentral:rRNA from 1 species